rnacentral:rRNA from 1 species
UACGGAGGGUGCAAGCGUUGUUCGGAAUCACUGGGCGUAAAGGGCGCGUAGGCGGCUUUGUAAGUCGGGGGUGAAAGCCUGUGGCUCAACCACAGAAUUGCCUUCGAUACUGCAUGGCUUGAGACCGGAAGAGGUAAGUGGAACUGCGAGUGUAGAGGUGAAAUUCGUAGAUAUUCGCAAGAACACCAGUGGCGAAGGCGGCCCUCUGGACGGAUACUGACGCUGAGGCGCGAAAGCGUGGGGAUCAAACAGG